rnacentral:rRNA from 1 species
GGUGAGUAACGCGUGGGAACCUUCCCUGUAGUACGGAAUAACCCCGGGAAACCGGUGCUAAUACCGUAUACGCCCUUCGGGGGAAAGAUUUAUCGCUACAGGAUGGGCCCGCGUUGGAUUAGCUUGUUGGUGAGGUAAAAGCUCACCAAGGCGACGAUCCAUAGCUGGUCUGAGAGGAUGAUCAGCCACACUGGGACUGAGACACGGCCCAGACUCCUACGGGAGGCAGCAGUAGGGAAUAUUGGACAAUGGGCGAAAGCCUGAUCCAGCCAUGCCGCGUGAGUGAAGAAGGCCUUAGGGUUGUAAAACUCUUUUAGCGGGGAAGAUAAUGACGGUACCCGCAGAAUAAGCCCCGGCUAACUUCGUGCCAGCAGCCGCGGUAAUACGAAGGGGGCUAGCGUUGUUCGGAAUUACUGGGCGUAAAGCGCACGCAGGCGGACUGAUUAGUCAGGGGUGAAAUCCCGGGGCUCAACCCCGGAACUGCCUUUGAUACUGUCAGUCUCGAGUCCGGGAGAGGUGAGUGGAAUUCCUAGUGUAGAGGUGAAAUUCGUAGAUAUUAGGAAGAACACCAGUGGCGAAGGCGGCUCACUGGCCCGGUACUGA